CCUACGGGGGGCAGCAGUGGGGGAUAUUGCACAAUGGGGGAAACCCUGAUGCAGCGACGCCGCGUGGGUGAAGAAGUAUUUCGGUAUGUAAAGCCCUAUCAGCAGGGAAGAAAGAAGACGGUACCUGACUAAGAAGCCCCGGCUAACUACGUGCCAGCAGCCGCGGUAAUACGUAGGGGGCGAGCGUUAUCCGGAUUCACUGGGUGUAAAGGGAGCGUAGACGGCCGUGCAAGCCAGGAGUGAAGGCCCGGGGCCCAACCCCGGGACUGCUCUUGGAACUGUGCGGCUGGAGUGCGGGAGGGGCAGGCGGAAUUCCUGGUGUAGCGGUGAAAUGCGUAGAUAUCAGGAGGAACACCGGCGGCGAAGGCGGCCUGCUGGACCGCGACUGACGUUGAGGCUCGAAAGCGUGGGGAGCGAACAGGAUUAGAUACCCCUGUAGUC
rnacentral:rRNA from 1 species